rnacentral:tRNA from 1 species
AACCCUCUGGCUCAGUUGGUAGAGCAUGGUGUUUGCAAUGCCAGCAUGGUGUGUGCAACGCCAGGGUUGUGGGUUCGAUUCCCACGGGGGCCA